GUUGAAUAUGCGCUGAAUUUUCCGGAAGGAAAAACGGGGGAACCAAACUUGGCCGAGUGCCAACGGGGUGAAUCGGAAGCGGGUCAGCAGACUCGAAAACCGUAGGGCUACCACAGCCCGAAUCCGCCAGCUAACCUCGUAAGCAAUAGUGGGAUAAUGA
rfam:Paenibacillus sp. IHB B 3415 contig_026, whole genome shotgun sequence.